UACGUAGGGUGCGAGCGUUGUCCGGAAUUAUUGGGCGUAAAGAGCUUGUAGGCGGUUUUGUCGCGUCUGCUGUGAAAAUCCGGGGCUCAACCCCGGACUUGCAGUGGGUACGGGCAGACUAGAGUGUGGUAGGGGGAGACUGGAAUUCCUGGUGUAGCGGUGGAAUGCGCAGAUAUCAGGAGGAACACCGAUGGCGAAGGCAGGUCUCUGGGCCACUACUGACGCUGAGAAGCGAAAAGCUGGGGGAGCGAACAGG
rnacentral:rRNA from 1 species